UCUACUAUAUCUAUUGAUGUUAUCCCCUGUAUCUAGUUACAGUCCAGUUGUAUCCCCUAUGUAUAAUCUACAUCUACUGUGAGUAAUACAGCUACUCUCUCUGUCUCGCCGUUCCUAUAGCUCAAACAAUUAACCCAAUUCAUAUCUGUAUUCUAGAAAAUCCAGUGAAUCUUUGGUACCCAUUUACAGUGUGCAGUAUUAACCCAUAUACAAACAGGACCAUAGACAGAAUGGGAUUAAAUUAUCAUUGAUUAAAUAGGAUGAAGAGAGCAGCGAUGAGCCCAGCAGACACGCACACGCUCAGUACAAACAGAACGAUCAGAGUCACCUCCAAACUGCUGAACGUCUUCUUCUUCCCCAUCUCUAAUGUUCUCAGCCCUGCAGGAAAGGGAUCAUAUGGACAUUUAAUAAUUACGUACCAACUCCA